CUGAAAAGAAAGGAAAUCCCUGAAAGUUGUUCGGUUAAUUACCGCAAUCAGCGAAAUGCAAGGGAUGAAAGCAAGCUCCAAAUGAAAUUCUUCUGCUACUCUUGCAAUGUGAUCAUGAUAAAGAGAAUUUUUGGAAGACAAAAUGCAUAACACAUUUUCGUUCUGUGCGUAUGCUAUUAGAAUGAAAGAAAAUAAUGACUGACUUUACAGUAAACUUCACAAUAAGGCCAUUGUUUUACAUAGAAUGGACAUUCUGCACGCGAAAUAAUUGUUGUCGCAACCGACGGGAUCGAAAAAAAAUUGCUUAAUGUGAACUUAAUAAAAAUGUGAGUUAAGAAUUUCCGCAAA